rnacentral:rRNA from 1 species
AAGCGUGCGCAGGCGGCUUUGUAAGACAGGUGUGAAAUCCCCGGGCUUAACCUGGGAACUGCGCUUGUGACUGCAAGGCUCGAGUGCGGCAGAGGGGGGUGGAAUUCCACGUGUAGCAGUGAAAUGCGUAGAGAUGUGGAGGAACACCGAUGGCGAAGGCAGCCCCCUGGGUCGACACUGACGCUCAUGCACGAAAGCGUGGGUAGCAAACAGGAUUAGAUACCCUGGUAGUCCACGCCCUAAACGAUGCCAACUAGGUGUUGGGGAAGGAGACUUCCUUAGUACCGUAGCUAACGCGUGAAGUUGGCCGCCUGGGGAGUACGGUCGCAAGAUUAAAACUCAAAGGAAUUGACGGGGACCCGCACAAGCGGUGGAUGAUGUGGAUUAAUUCGAUGCAACGCGAAAAACCUUACCUACCCUUGACAUGCCAGGAAUCCUGCUGAGAGGCGGGAGUGCUCGAAAGAGAGCCUGGACACAGGUGCUGCAUGGCUGUCGUCAGCUCGUGUCGUGAGAUGUUGGGUUAAGUCCCGCAACGAGCGCAACCCUUGUCAAUAGUUGCCAUCAUUCAGUUGGGCACUCUAUUGAGACUGCCGGUGACAAACCGGAGGAAGGUGGGGAUGACGUCAAGUCCUCAUGGCCCUUAUGGGUAGGGCUUCACACGUCAUACAAUGGUCGGUACAGAGGGUUGCCAAGCCGCGAGGUGGAGCCAAUCCCAGAAAGCCGAUCGUAGUCCGGAUCGGAGUCUGCAACUCGACUCCGUGAAGUCGGAAUCGCU